UUUCCAUGACCUUCGUGCUGUGGACAAUGUACUCGUUCGUGGCAGUGUAUUUUUAGAGCCUUUAUUCAACACAUGCUUUUGUGCAUCUGACCAUUUCCUCAAUAAUUCAGUAUAUCACAUAUACGUUUAAUAAUUCAUUCUCUGCAUGGAGAUCAGACUGGUAACGUGCGUAACCCUCUUACAAGAACUUCCGAGAUGGUUUGUUUGUAAAUCCAACUCCGUGGUCGUUGUGAAAUCACGUAUCUGUAACAUUUUGGUCAUGCAUAUGGUUUAUGUUCAUUGCUUAAAAUACAAGUCAAUUCAUCAUAUUUGCCAAACGUAUCAAGUGGGUAAAAGCCUAGUGCUCUUUGGUAAUUCAUUUUUGGCGUGCGGUUUCAUCGGAAACAGCACAGAUUGGCGAGUCGUGACUGCUAAAGUGAGUAAUGCGCGUCGGCUGCGUCAGUAGGGGCAUAGCGCUGGGUGCCGGAGACAGAUGGAGGGAAUCGUGACUGACCGGAGACUUACACAAAUGAAAGCACAACCUCAUCAUGUCUCCAUGAGAGAGCUAUCUGUGAAGAUGAGACUUAAAUGUUAGGGUCUCGCUGUUCUCCCCUGUCACUCUAAGUCCUGACCUUGGGAUCCGGUGGUAAUUCUACACAUUCAGAAAAAAGCGACUCUCUAGUUUAUGUGUGUGUGUGUGUGUGGUGUGUGUGUGCGUGUGUGUGUGUGUGUGUGUGCUGUAUGUGUGCGUGUGUGUGUGUGCGUGUGUGUGUGUGUGUGUGUGGCGUUCGUACGUGCAAACAGAAAGAGCGAGUAAAAAGGAGAUGUUUUUGUGUGUAGGCUUGUGUGAAGGCUUUGGGAUGGGUUUAUAUGGUUGUGUGCGCGCGUAUGCUUGAGUUGUGUGGGUAUCCAAAUAUAGCCAGACUCAGAAAACGAUGUUCAUUAUUUUAUGAGACAAGGAAAAAAGGUGACUAGCUUUGGUGCUUAGGUGACCUGUGCAAAUACUACGAAUGGAGGAUAUGAGAAACUUGUUGUGGGGGGUCCCUGUGUGAGAAAAGCACGGAUUGGUCGAAUGACGAUUUUUUGUAUGCUCCAAUGAAAUCCUUCACUGCUCUCUAUUUACUGUGAGCUGGAGCGCAGUAAUUCCCCUCCUUCAACAGAUCUAUCGACUGACAGGAGUAGAUCAGCUUUUUACCACAUCACGAACAGUAGACUAUGUACAGUAUGACUAUAAGAACGGCAUCAGAACACGGAUGAAAUGACGGUGCAAAGCCUCGGAUGGUUAUUCCAGUCCAAGGGUCUGAGCUAAUAUACAGAGUGCAAAAAGAAGCAGACAGAAAGAGAGGAAUGGAAAUCUGAGUCAACAGAUCAGGAGAGCCCAUGACUAAAUAACAGAUGCUAGAUACGUGAAUAAUAACAUUUGUGUGUGUUUUCUGAAUGCGUGUUAUCAUGUCAUUCAUGUUUAAGCUGCUGAAUGCCUUCUAUUAUCACAUUUCUGAAAUGUUUUUUUUGCAAUGUUUUCUGCAUCUUUUCUGUAUUGCUUUUGAUUGUAACCAGGUAUACUGAUUACAUUAAUUUAGAGGUAAUCAAUAAGCUACUUAUUGAUGUUUAUUUUUUUAACAAAAAUAUGACGUCAUCCUGAAAUUUCUUUCUUCUGAGUCUGAGUACGUCAGUGAUACUCUCAUGCAAUAAGUACUGUAAAUCAUUGAUAUAAGCAGUGAUUUAUUAUUUUUUAUUAAUUCUUAAUGAGAAUACAAGUGAUGUUUUCAUUCUCAUUAAUUUAGCAGUCUUUUAAUUUAUGGUGAAACUGACGUGGUCUUAGUAAACAUACCACGCAUUACGUUUAAAGCUCAGACAUACGUCAGGUUGUAAUUAUACCUCAGCACAGUCAGACUUAUUUUUUCCAACUAUUUAAAUAAUGAAUUUGUAGUGAACUACUGUAAAUGAUCAUUGAUUUUAUAUGUUCUUUAAGAAAAUGUCUUUUCAAAAUAAAAUUUAUAAAUUGCAGUAUACGUAUUGUGGCCUAUUUUAUCUUAAAGUUACAAUCUAAAAUCUAUAUUGUGAUACAAUCUACCGAAAUAAACAUUAUGCAAGCAGUAAACAAUGCCAUGUGUAUAUGAAUAUGUAGUUAUAAUGCAGCAUGUUGCACAUGUAUGGAUCUACUGUAUUGUGUUCCACUUUUCUAGGUUGAAUGAUGAUUACAUUGAUCUACAUUGCUUUUUAAAGAAACAUAAAGGCUUGUAAUGUCUUUUUAAUACUUUUCAGUUAAAUCUGUUAAUUGAAUCAACAUUUAAGUAUAUGCAUUCUUUUUCAUUUUUAUAUUCUUUUCAGCUGUUAUUGGUUUGACUCUAAUCAUGAAUAAUAGCAUCCACACGCUUAUUUUCUUAGUGUUAGUGCCUAACAAAAAAACAUUUUACAUAACACAUUGUUUAAACGUGCAGCUUCAUUAUUUGGGGAAUGUUGUGGAUGGAAUGUUGAGUUUUCAGGAUGUGAAGUUUUUCAGUGACUCCUGACUUUCUGAAACAACAUUGUUGUCAUUAUUAUUUUUUAUUUUUAAGUUAUAUUUUGGGUCUUUUAUGCCUUUAAUGACAGCGUACAGUGGAGAGUUGAUAAGAAGAUAUUGGGAGGAAAGAGGGGAGCAGGACCGACAAAGGACCACUGAGAACGGGAAUCGAACCCAAAUCGCCGUGAGCGCACUGGCGCUAUGUGUCGGCACAUUAACCACAAGGCAACCGACACCGACACCGACGCUGUCAUUGUUUCAAAGACUAUUACUCAUUUACAUAAUUUUUCUUCACUCUAACCAUGUUCUUUUUUUGUGUGUUUAACAGACUAUGGCCCGGUUUCACAGAAAAGGCUUAAGGGUAGUCACCAACUAAAAUGAAUGUUUGAGCUGUCUUAAAUGAAAAUAACAUGCCCUGAAAUAUCUUAAGAUAUGUUAGUGCCAUUGUUUUGUCUCAUGAUGAACACCAGUAAUGUUUUUUCAAAUACAUUUUUAUAAAAGCGACUUAAAUAUACAAAUUUAUCUAAGGCCUAGUCCUGGCUUAAGCUAAUCCUUGUCAUUGAAAUCGGGCCUAUGUGUGGGAGACAUAACCCACUGCAAACAAGGGGUAGCACCUUUUUUCCCCCCCGAGAACACAGAAUGAGUAUAUACCGCUGUUUUUACCCCUGUUGUUCUCUGGUAGUUUUCUAGUGGCCCAUGAAAACACAGUAUGGUUUAUGUGCCGCAAAGUGCUGUAGUAAGAUUUAAAUAACAUUACAUUAAAUUUAUAAAGAUAGAAAUUCAUAUGACUCACGUACACAUUAAGUCAAAUUAAUCUGAUUUACACAUUAAAUUUGUCUUUUAUGGCAAGAAGUGAUACAUGCGUUAUAUACAAAACAUGUCCCCUAUGCACUGCCUUUUUCUUUGCACUUGACAACAUGACAGGUUUAAAACAUCGCAGUAAUUUAAGCUUUUGUAACUAAUAACAAUUAUUCACUUGACCUUAAAGUGUGUAUUUUUUUAGGUUUCAAUAAUAAGGAGUACUGAGUCAGGAACGCAACAGCCAAAGUAAUGCUCACACCCGAGAUGUGGUCACAAUUUUUUGCAUUGUGUCUCAAGUCCCCGAAAGUGAUCACUUAAAGAUGUUUUAAAAGAUUUGUGUCUGCAAAUUUGAAACAGAACAGUAAGUCCACAUAGAUUUUAAAUUGAUAUGAUCAUAUAGUUAUUAUGUUUACUAUGUCACUUUGAACAGUUUCUUGUUGCUAUGCCUCUAACAACUCUUAAUUUUGUCCUACUGUAAAAUCAAGUCAAACCAAUUUAUUUUCUUCUCCUGCCCUAUACAUUUUGUUUUUGUACUGAACACAAAUGAAGAUAUUGGUGAAUGGUGACCCAAAAUGACUUUAACACAAAAUAACUUCCUUCAUUGUUCAGUGCAACAAAUAAAUGUAUAACAGAGGAUGAACAAAUGAUGACAAAAUUUUCAUUUUUGGGCCAACUAUUAUUUAAGCUUAAUCGCAUAAACCAUGAAAUGUAUUCUCUGUAAACCCCAGACUGCUUGAUACGUUGAACAUACAUUAUGUAGUUUUCAUUCACUGCAAGUUAUUCUGCCUUCUGAUCUAAAUAGUCCCUUCUCAUUGAUUGUCUGAGGCCAGUUCUCUGUCACGUUAAAGCAUGACAUCUGCUGCAGAAUAACAUGAUUGUGUUUUUUUUAUUAUUGUGUGUGUGUUUGACUUGUUUUUCUUUUUACUUUAGAAUUUCUGCUUGAUGCCUUGAAACAUGUGCUAUGAGAAGCUGUAAGUCUCAUAUCAUUUCAACGUUCAGUAUGAAGACAGCACAUUUGCCCCGAGGAGAAAGGAAAUCAUUCAUUCUGAUCCUCCUGUUUGUGAGAUCUUGGGGAAGUGCCCAGCACUUUUUACUGAAAGCCACGUUUGUUUUCUAUUUCUCUUUACCAACUUAAUGCCUUUUUUAUUUUAAUGUAAACAACCACUUUAUGUUUUGUGCUUAGAUCUUUGCAGAAUUCAAUCGCAUAUCUGAAAAAUCUGAGAUCCAAGUUCUGCGCAGCAUUGGACUCUGCAUGUUUGAUUGAAUUUUUCAGAAAAAAGGAGGAAAUCAGGGGAAAACGCUUGGAUGAAAUUUUGCGUCAGGUUGAUUCAAAGUCAUCUGAUGUAAUGUGUUGUGUGCGCUUCGCAGUACUUCACGGUCUUCUUGGGGGACGACUCUGAGAAUUCAGGAUGUGCUUUGCAAAUGCAGACUUCUGUGGAAUUGAUGUUGGCCUGCUCACAGUUCCACGUGAAGAUAUGGCUGCCUGAACUCCAUGUUCUCAAUGUUAAUGCAUCAAGGGCAAUCAUUCUGGAGGGAAGAAUUGUCUUGGAUGAUGUCCCAAACUUGCCACAUGCUGUAUGUCUCCUCUUUGCUUACUGUAUAUGCUCUAAAUUUAGACUACACAAAGACAAUAAGGGAAACAUUUUUUCCGGGUAUUUCUGUUGUUGGGAGGUAAGAAACUCAAACCUAAACUUCAAACCCUUAAAAUCAGCUGUUAAGAUAAACUUUGUCUUGAAUGCCUUUGUGCCUGUUAAUAUUUGGCAUAUUUUGUAAUUUCACUAAUUUCAAGUUUGUACAGAUUUUAUACUUAUGUUAAUAUAUACUGUAGAUUAGUUAAAUGUCUGUAUUUCAGGCUUAUUUUGUAACUGCACUAAUUUUACGGGAGCACUGGUUUGGUACAGAUGGCUCGGUUAUGUUUUUAUAGUUAUAACUGUACCUUUCUAAAGCCAAAUGUCUAUAUUUUAGUAAAAACUAAAUGUCUACAUGUCAAAUGCCUAAUGUUUUCUGUACAGUGCUGUACAUUGUAAUUUUUUUCAGUAUUUAAUGAGGCAUAAGAGAUCUGUUUAGACAGAAGCAUUCUGGCUACAUUUGCUAGUUAUUGUGAUGUUCCUAACAAGCUGUUUAUUAAAAAAGAAACAGUCGAUAAUGUCAAACAUGUGUUGAGUGUCUUCUGUUUUAGUUGUAUUUAAAAAAAACAUGUUUACUUUACUUGAACAAUCUUUGGAAACCGAUUGCACAUAGUUUUUUAAGUUGUCGUAUCUUAAAAUGGAAUAGUAAAUCUGUAUCAAGUGUACUAGUAUUUUAAUUGAAAUUGAAAUAUUAAACUUACUUGAUAUUUAUUAGUUACAUUACUCAGAAAAUGUUUGUUCUACUUAUACAUAUAGGUGAUUACUAACUUAACUUUAAUUUUACCUUUAAGUUCGGCUUGAAAAAAUAAGGGCAAUCGGUUUCCAAGUAAACUGAACUAAUUCGUAUUUACAGUGACAGACAAUAGGCAUAUGAUAAAAGAAUAUGUAUCGUAUAUAGAAUAUACUAUAGCCUUUUGCAAAGUUGCAUUUCUGCACAUUUAAACACUGUGUUAAAAACUCAGUAAUGUCUGUCUGCAAUUGAAUAUAUUUCAAUUUUUUUAGUAAAUACUUCUGAUAACAAAAAAUAAAAUUGGAAAUUACUGUUCCAUAUAUAGUUGUCUUUCAUGCUAUUGACAAGACUUGGAUGCGUUGAAAAAAAGCAUUGUAGCUUCUUUUCAGAAAGGCACUGUCUAUAAAUUAAUGUCAAAUGAUUAUGACAUUUUACUACCCAAACCACAUUUCCUUGUCAAUUGAUUUGAAGUUAAAGCUUCUUCUGACUGUCCUGUGUCAUGUAUUCAACUUGUUACAAAAUCCAAAUAAAAUAAACA